rnacentral:rRNA from 1 species
UACAGAGGUCCCAAGCGUUGUUCGGAUUCACUGGGCGUAAAGGGUGCGUAGGUGGUAAGGCAAGUCAGGUGUGAAAUCUCCGGGCUCAACCCGGAAAUGGCAUUCGAAACUACCUUGCUAGAGGGUUUGAGGGGGGACUGGAAUACUUGGUGUAGCAGUGAAAUGCGUAGAUAUCAAGUGGAACACCAGUGGCGAAGGCGAGUCCCUGGAAAACUCCUGACACUGAGGCACGAAAGCUAGGGGAGCAAACAGG